rnacentral:rRNA from 1 species
GACGAACGCUGGCGGCGUGCUUAACACAUGCAAGUCGAACGAUGAAGCUGGAGCUUGCUCCGGUGGAUUAGUGGCGAACGGGUGAGUAACACGUGAGCAAUCUGCCCUUGACUCUGGGAUAACUGCGGGAAACUGUAGCUAAUACCGGAUACUUUCACUGGAAGGCAUCUUCUGGUGACGAACGAUUCUCGGUCAAGGAUGAGCUCGCGGCCUAUCAGCUGGUUGGUGAGGUAACGGCUCACCAAGGCGACGCAGGGUAGCCGGCCUGAGAGGGUGACCGGCCACACUGGGACUGAGACACGGCCCAGACUCCUACGGGAGGCAGCAGUGGGGAAUAUUGCACAAUGGGCGCAAGCCUGAUGCAGCAACGCCGCGUGAGGGAUGAAGGCCUUCGGGUUGUAAACCUCUUUUAGCAGGGAAGAAGCGAAAGUGACGGUACCUGCAGAAAAAGCACCGGCUAACUACGUGCCAGCAGCCGCCGUAA